UUGUGUUAGCGGUUGUAACGGCAUCCUUUUUUGUUUGUUAAAACAAAAAAGAUAGAGUGAAAGACGCGACCUGAA
rnacentral:sRNA from 1 species